rnacentral:rRNA from 1 species
UACGUAGGGAGCAAGCGUUGUCCGGAAUCAUUGGGCGUAAAGCGCGCGUAGGUGGCUCUAUAAGUCCGUUGUGAAAGUCAAAGGCUCAACCUUUGAAAGCCGAUGGAUACUGUGGAGCUAGAGUACGGAAGAGGCGAGUGGAAUUCCUGGUGUAGCGGUGGAAUGCGCAGAUAUCAGGAGGAACACCGGUGGCGAAGGCGGAUCUCUGGGCCUUACCUGACGCUGAGGAGCGAAAGCAUGGGGAGCAAACAGG